GAUGAAGAACGCAGCGAAAUGCGAUACUUGGUGUGAAUUGCAGAAUCCCAUGAACCAUCGAGUCUUUGAACGCAAGUUGCGCCCGAAGCCUCGGCUAAGGGCACGUCUGCCUGGGCGUCACGCAUCGCGUCUCCCCCAAACCGCCAAGGCGGAGGGGAAGGAAGAUGGCUUCCCGUGCCUCACCCGGCGCGGUUGGCCUAAAUUUGGAGCCCGCGGCACUUAGCUCACGCGGCGAUAGGUGGUGAACAAGGCCUUGGCCGUGCAAACAACCCGCUGCGAAGCUCUAUGUCACGUGCGCUCGUCGGACCCUUUGAAGUUGCCUUCGGUGACUUAAAACCUUUGCGACCCCAGGUCAGGCGGGGCUACCCGCUGAAUUUAAGCAUAUCAAUAAGCGGAGGA
rnacentral:misc_RNA from 1 species